rnacentral:rRNA from 1 species
GAUCGUAAAGCUCUGUUGUUAGGGAAGAACAAGUGCGAGAGUAACUGCUCGCACCAUGACGGUACCUAACCAGAAAGCCACGGCUAACUACGUGCCAGCAGCCGCGGUAAUACGUAGGUGGCAAGCGUUGUCCGGAAUUAUUGGGCGUAAAGGGCUCGCAGGCGGUUUCUUAAGUCUGAUGUGAAAGCCCCCGGCUCAACCGGGGAGGGUCAUUGGAAACUGGGAAACUUGAGUGCAGAAGAGGAGAGUGGAAUUCCACGUGUAGCGGUGAAAUGCGUAGAGAUGUGGAGGAACACCAGUGGCGAAGGCGACUCUCUGGUCUGUAACUGACGCUGAGGAGCGAAAGCGUGGGGAGCGAACAGGAUUAGAUACCCUGGUAGUCCACGCCGUAAACGAUGAGUGCUAAGUGUUA